GACGAACGCUGGCGGCGUGCCUAAUACAUGCAAGUUGAGCGAUGAAGCUUGGUGCUUGCACCAAUUUGAAGAGCAGCGAACGGGUGAGUAACGCGUGGGGAAUCUGCCUUUGAGCGGGGGACAACAUUUGGAAACGAAUGCUAAUACCGCAUAACAACUUUAAACAUAAGUUUUAAGUUUGAAAGAUGCAAUUGCAUCACUCAAAGAUGAUCCCGCGUUGUAUUAGCUAGUUGGUGAGGUAAAGGCUCACCAAGGCGAUGAUACAUAGCCGACCUGAGAGGGUGGUCGGCCACAUUGGGACUGAGACACGGCCCAAACUCCUACGGGAGGCAGCAGUAGGGAAUCGUCGGCAAUGGGCGAAAGUCUGACCGGGCAACGCCGCGUGAGUGAAGAAGGUUUUCGGAUCGUAAAACUCUGUUGGUAGAGAAGAACGUUGGUGAGAGUGGAAAGCUCAUCAAGUGACGGUAACUACCCAGAAAGGGACGGCUAACUACGUG
rnacentral:rRNA from 1 species